AGUGAACGCUGGCGGUAGGCCUAACACAUGCAAGUCGAACGGCAGCACAGUAAGAGCUUGCUCUUACGGGUGGCGAGUGGCGGACGGGUGAGGAAUACAUCGGAAUCUACUUUUUCGUGGGGGAUAACGUAGGGAAACUUACGCUAAUACCGCAUACACCUACGGGUGAAAGCCGGGGAUCUUCGGACCUUGCGCGAUUGAAUGAGCCGAUGUCGGAUUAGCUAGUUGGCGGGGUAAAGGCCCACCAAGGCGACGAUCCGUAGCUGGUCUGAGAGGAUGAUCAGCCACACUGGAACUGAGACACGGUCCAGACUCCUACGGGAGGCAGCAGUGGGGAAUAUUGGACAAAGGGCGCAAGCCUGAUCCAGCCAUACCGCGUGGGUGAAGAAGGCCUUCGGGUUGUAAAGCCCUUUUGUUGGGAAAGAAAAGCAGCAGGUUAAUACCCCGCUGUUCUGACGGUACCCAAAGAAUAAGCACCGGCUAACUUCGUG
rnacentral:rRNA from 1 species